UGAAGCAUCGGCCCGUCUGAUCACCGAAGUUAAGCAACGUUGAAUCUGGUCAGUACAUAGUAGGGUGACCGCUUUGGAAUACCAGGUGCUGUAA